AAAAGGUCUCCGCUUGGUGACCAGCGGAGGGAUCAUUACCGAGUUUACAACUCCCAAACCCCAAUGUGAACGUUACCAAUCUGUUGCCUCGGCGGGAUUCUCUUGCCCCGGGCGCGUCGCAGCCCCGGAUCCCAUGGCGCCCGCCGGAGGACCAACUCCAAACUCUUUUUUUCUCUCCGUCGCGGCUCCCGUCGCGGCUCUGUUUUAUUUUUGCUCUGAGCCUUUCUCGGCGACCCUAGCGGGCGUCUCGAAAAUGAAUCAAAACUUUCAACAACGGAUCUCUUGGUUCUGGCAUCGAUGAAGAACGCAGCGAAAUGCGAUAAGUAAUGUGAAUUGCAGAAUUCAGUGAAUCAUCGAAUCUUUGAACGCACAUUGCGCCCGCCAGUAUUCUGGCGGGCAUGCCUGUCCGAGCGUCAUUUCAACCCUCGAACCCCUCCGGGGGGUCGGCGUUGGGGAUCGGCCCCUCACCGGGCCGCCCCCGAAAUACAGUGGCGGUCUCGCCGCAGCCUCUCCUGCGCAGUAGUUUGCACACUCGCACCGGGAGCGCGGCGCGGCCACAGCCGUAAAACACCCCAAACUUCUGAAAUGUUGACCUCGGAUCAGGUAGGAAUACCCGCUGAACUUAAGCAUAUCAAUAAGCCGGGAGGAAA
rnacentral:rRNA from 1 species